UACGUAGGCAGCGAGCGUUGUUCGGAAUUACUGGGCGUAAAGAGUGUGUAGGCGGUGCUCUAAGUUCGGUGUGAAAUCUCCUGGCUCAACUGGGAGGGUGCGCCGGAAACUGGAGUGCUUGAGCGUGGGAGAGGAAAGCGGAAUUCCUGGUGUAGCGGUGAAAUGCGUAGAGAUCGGGAAGAACAUCAGUGGCGAAGGCGGUCUGCUGGGCCGUUGCUGACGCUGAGGCGCGACAGCGUGGGGAGCAAACAGG
rnacentral:rRNA from 1 species